AGAAAAUGAAUGUUUGACUGAAAUAAAAUCGUAUGAUAUAACGCCUGUCAUCCUUGUAAUUACCCUAGCAAUAAUUCUGAUGACAACAGUGACUGUCAUACGGUAUUGUACAUGUAAGUUCAUAUAUUAACAUGUUCUAAUAAAUUACGAUAGCAGAUGUUUAUCUGGUCACGUAGUGGGUAGACACAUUGCAUUCGUUUGAUGUAGAAUAAAACAUUAGCUGCUCCGAGACAUGUAUCUUUUUACGUUUCUUCCAUCACAAUCAACUAUUCUUCAUAAAAUAUUAUAUGAAUGAUUUUAUUUAUUCAAUGCUGUGAUAUAACGGAUAAAAAUAAGUUAAUUAUAAUUAUCAUAUCAAAAUUAUCUCCUCAAAGGAAAACGUAUUUAAAUUUAAGGAAGCAAUCAUUAAACUAAAAACACCAUUCCCUCAAUGAAUUACAAAAGAUAAUUUCAAUCCAUAAAAAUUCAAUAAACAUGAUGUCAAUGACUUAUGCUUGAACAUUCUAUCUCUAAUUUUAGGUUGUAAACAUGGCAACGCCAAAGGAAUGAUAUUGCUCAACCAAACUGUAUAGACAAUGAGAGUAAUGGAAAACCCAUCCUUCAGGC
rnacentral:lncRNA from 1 species